GACGUAGGAUGCAAGCGUUGUCCGGAAUUAUUGGGCGUAAAGAGUUCGUAGGCGGUUACUUAAGUCUGAUGUUAAAUACCAGAGCUCAACUCUGGCAUGGCAUUGGAAACUGGGUGGCUAGAGUGUGGUAGAGGUCACGGGAAUUCCUGGUGUAGCGGUGAAAUGCGUAGAUAUCAGGAGGAACACCAAUGGCGAAGGCAGCUCACUGGGACGAUACUGACGCUGAGACGCGAAAGCGUGGGGAGCAAACAGG
rnacentral:rRNA from 1 species